ACGAACGCUGGCGGCAUGCCUAACACAUGCCAGUCGCACGAGACCUUCGGGUCUAGUGGCGCACGGGCGCGUAACGCGUGGGAACCUGCCUUUAGGUUCGGAAUAACUCAGAGAAAUUUGAGCUAAUACCGGAUGAUGUCUUCGGACCAAAGAUUUAUCGCCUUUAGAUGGGCCCGCGUUGGAUUAGCUAGUUGGUGGGGUAAAGGCCUACCAAGGCGACGAUCCAUAGCUGGUCUGAGAGGAUGAUCAGCCACACUGGGACUGAGACACGGCCCAGACUCCUACGGGAGGCAGCAGUGGGGAAUAUUGGACAAUGGGCGAAAGCCUGAUCCAGCAAUGCCGCGUGAGUGAUGAAGGCCUUAGGGUUGUAAAGCUCUUUUACCCGAGAUGAUAAUGACAGUAUCGGGAGAAUAAGCUCCGGCUAACUCCGUG
rnacentral:rRNA from 1 species